rnacentral:rRNA from 1 species
CCCAGACUCCUACGGGAGGCAGCAGUGGGGGAUAUUGCACAAUGGGGGGAACCCUGAUGCAGCGACGCCGCGUGGGUGAAGGAGCGUUUCGGCGCGUAAAGCCCUAUCGGCAGGGAAGAAGGAGGACGGUACCUGACUAAGAAGCCCCGGCUAACUACGUGCCAGCAGCCGCGGUAAUACGUAGGGGGCAAGCGUUAUCCGGAUUUACGGGGUGUAAAGGGGGCGCAGACGGCAGCGCAAGCCAGGAGUGAAAGCCCGGGGCCCAACCCCGGGACUGCUCUUGGAACUGCGCGGCUGGAGUGCAGGAGGGGCAGGCGGAAUUCCUGGUGUAGCGGUGAAAUGCGUAGAUAUCAGGAGGAACACCGGUGGCGAAGGCGGCCUGCUGGACUGCGACUGACGUUGAGGCCCGAAAGCGUGGGGAGCAAACAGGAUUAGAUACCCUAGUAA